GAUGCUUAACCGGCUGAGCCACCCAGGUGCCCCCCCCCACCUCAAAAUAAGUUUUUAAUUGUUACGGUUUGAAUGGAAAAAUGAAGCUGCUACCAAAGGAAAUCCACUGAAUUUUAUAGAAAGGCUUGGAUCUGCAAAUGAGAUCUGUUUAUCCCUGUGGGGUCUGUGAAAAUCCCGGCUGGCAUAGGAUGAAGCAGUGAUAUUCCUUGCUUGCUCCUAGACCCCCAGGGAACACCCACACCACCGUUCCCAGCAGAGACCUGUGAACAGUCAGGCCCUAACACCCAGGUCACCCAUGUGAGCCCCGAGUUAGCCUCUUUGUCCUUCUGGGUGGCACUAGCGACUACCACCCCCGGGGAAGUGAGAAUUGAGUCACUUCGAUCAUUUUCUGGGGUUCUGCGGUUCAGAUGAGGCACCUCAUGAAGAAGGUGACCAGAAGCCUGCCAUCGCCUGCCCCACAGUUCCCACACUGUGCACACUUCACACUCCCUGGAGAAAGCCUGGCGCCGUGUGGGUUGAUAACGAACCCCACAGCUUGCUGAGAAGGGGGCGUGAGGAUCCCCGUUCUGGCUGACUGCGGUGGGGAGGUUAUGCGUCUGGUCGAUGGCACUAGGUAAAUCCCCCCCUUCUCCUAUCCUGAACACCAACUGGGCAUUCAGAUGGGUGUGUGUGUGUGUGUGUGUGUGUGUGUGUGUGUGUGUGUACAUGUACCAAUGUGUGUAUAAAUGUCCUUGAUCCUCACCCAUGUUUGUACCUCUAUAUCUGUGCACAGACCCUGACUCUGUGUACGUACCACUGCAUGUGUCCUUGGAUCAGGACCCUGUCCAUAUACGUACUUGCACGUCUAUACUUGGACCAAGACCCUGCGUACCUACCACUGUGUCUAUACAUGGUUCAAGACCCUAUGUACAUACCUGUCCAUGUGUAUGUGGACCCUGUCCGCGUACGUACCUGUACAUCUAGAUGUGGACCAGGACCCUGUCCAUGUAUGUACCACUCACUACAUGUAUAUGUGGACCAGGUCCCCAUUCGUAUAUUACCACAACAUGUCAAUGUGGACCAGGAUCCCAUCUGUGUAUCCCACAGGAUCCCACAUAUUGCCAUGUGUAUACAUGGAUCAGGACCCCACUCGUGUACAGACCACUAGAUGUAUAUGUGGACCAAAUCCUUGUCCACGUGUGCACCUGUACUGGAACGUGAACCAGGUUCUUGUCUGUAUGUGUACAACUUCCGAGCGGUGCUGAGGACAUUGAGAGCAAGGAAUAUUUCUCGAGCACUUCCUGGUAUUCCCAGUCAUUCCCAUUGUCCAGUGGUAUCACAGCUCUGGUGCAGGGUUGGGCCUGUAGCUGGAUGAGAGAGGUGCCCCGGAGUCCAGAGUCAAAAGAGUACUCUCAGGGUCCUGCAGGCACAGUGUGCGAGCCCAAGAGCGGCCCCUCCCUGAACUUGGCUCCCUGGUGACCAGCCUCUCACUGUUGUCUAGGUGAAUCUAUGGUGAAUCCAGCUCAGAACAAAGAGGAUUGUGUACAGCUGAAUUUUUAGCUGUAAUUGUUAAAUUCCACUGCAGAGGCGGUCUGUAAAGUAAGCAAUCUGAGCCAUUUGGUUUUCAAGAGCCAGAGCAUUGAGAGAGAAAGAUGUGGGGAAAUUCUGCUGACUCGGCUUUGCCCACUAGAGAGGAGAGGCUGGAGAGGCUGAAGGAUGCCAAGAACCAUAGAGCUCUGGAAUAAACGGGUGGCGCAGGGAGAGGUGACUGGAGGGGUCUGGCCAGAGCUUAGGUGAGGGGGUCCAGAAGGUGAGGGCUCAUGUGAUCAGAGCAGCGUGGGCUGCUGUCCUGGGGAGAAGGUGGUAGAAUGCAGCCUCCUGGAGAGGUCGCUCUGGCUCAGCCCUGGGGAUGCAGAGAAGGGAUGGCAGAGGGAGGGACAGAGGACAGCCUGCCAACCUUGAUUCUGGAACCAAGGGUAAGGGGUUGUGCAUGUGCCAUGUAGGCCACAGACCCAAAGGAUUUAGAGUCAGGCUGAGAAGGACCUGUGAGACUUCCACUGACCUCAGGCACAGAAGGCGAGAGCUGUCAGCAUGGGGCGUCUGUGGCUAGGGGGGCAGCAGAGGCCAGUGGAAGACCCAGGCCAGCACAGGACUGGCUUUGGACGGCAUGGAAGGACGUGAAGAUCUCAGAGCCCAGGUCACCUCCUGGAGGAGAUAAGCUCCAGUGACCACAGAAGUCUGGGAAGGAUCAGGUGGUCUUUAAUUGGCAAAAUGAAGAUUUUUCUGUCUACGGUAACGCAGUUGUGCUUGGAGAAGAAAACCAUACAGUCAGCUGUUUCUCUUGUUCCUGGCCGGCAUCCAGCCUGUGAGAGCUCCACCUGCUGUCCCUGGGGAUGCCAGGUUCCCCUCUGGCUCUUUGUUUCGUUCACCCUCCUGCUGACAAAGACCUGAGGAUCCCAUGUUGAGAGGCACAGAGCACGUAUAUUGCCGUUCAGCACUUCCUGUUUUCGAAGCCAGUGGGGAAGCGUGGAGGAGUGUUCCCAGGGCUCUGCCUCCAGAACCCAAAUCCAGCAGACACAGGGAGACACUCCUCCCUGGGGAGUGUCUGUCACCUGUGGGGGUGACCGUGGCCUGAAGGACACGCUGAGGUGACGUGAUCUGUGCACACAGUCGCUUUCCUGUCUUAGUGUUUCUGAGGACCUGCUGUGCACUUGGGUGUACCUGCCAUGUGACUGUGUUACCACUUACCUCCUUUUGUAAAUCAGAUCAUAAAUUCACUUUGAGAAUUUAUCAUUUAUAAAAGGAACCAGUAGUAAUUCUUUUUGUGUAAUGAAUACUCUUCUCCUAAUGAUCUGAUUUCAAAGUUUACAUUUUUUAACAGGUUGGGUAUUCGUUUCAGUGUCGACUCUUCCCCAAGACCUAUGGACAUUCUAACAAAAGGCGUUAUUUUCAGAAUCUAAACAUAAAUACAUAAUAACGCUAUGACUUGAAGCAGCAUGAACAAUGGAGGUAGGAAGUGAAGCAGGCUUUCACAGAAACAUGAACUCAUUUUCAUGGCUCCCAGUAUUUCUCAUUACAAGUUAAACUAUUUAAAAUGAUGGCUUAAUAGGCACCACCUGAGAUGUGGGCGGGAUAAUGAGUGUGAGAUGCUGAACUACUGCGUUUCCUGACUUCUUUGUGCGGAAAUUAGUAAAUGCACCGUCCUAGGAAAAAUGGCUUUGCGAGUCUCAUUUUCAUUUUUCCUGUGCCCUCCGCCCAAGUGCUAGAUGGGGGAGAGAUGCAUUCUUAGGAGUCAUGUUUUGGAGUAGCUAUGGUGGGCUUCAGGGUGAAGUCUGCACUGACCGAGGGUGUGGCCUAGGUGUGUGUGUGUAUGUGUGUGUGUGUAUGUGUGUAGGUAUGUAUACAUAUAAGUGUGUGUAUAUAUAUAUAUGUAUAUGUACAUGUGUAUACGUAUAUAUGUGUAUGUGUAUAUAUAGAAAUAUGGAUGGAUGACCCCGAGGGUGUGGCCUGGGGGGUGUGGGUGACCCCGAGGGCAUGGUCUGGGGGGUUGUGGAUGACCCCCAAGGCAUGGUGGCCUGAGGGUGUGGGCGAUCCCAAGGUGAAUACAAGCCUGAGGGAAGAUGUCUGGGCCUAGCAUCCACCUGCGGGGACUGGAUGGCACAGAGGAGGAGCUUGUAAUCCACCAUGAGGUGUAGACGUGGCGGAAGGCUGACUUGGGAUGAUCACGGGCGUGGGGACGGCCUGGGCACCGUGGGAAGCAGAAUCGGCAAGAGAAGGGGCGCCUGCUCCCAGACUGCCCGCUGGGAAGGCUACUCCGAGGUUGGGGGUGCGUCUUAGGGUGACUCGGGUUUACAGAACAGCAGAGCCCUGUUUGCAUAGGAGAGUGUAGCCACAGGAUUACAAAGUGCCCACUACUUUUAUUUGAUUGGCCACCGAGUUUUCUUAAAGAAAAAUUGUCCCGGCUCUGACCUCCCUCAUCCAUGUCCUAAGGGCCUUUUUCUGGAACCGCUGAAGUGGCUUUCCGGGUCUGCUUGCUUCUGUGUGGUCACUGGGGGCCUUCCCCACUCAGGCUGCAGUGGUGGUUCACACCCUGGAGACUCUGGGCAGCGUCAGCUUCCAGAAACUGCCCCUCUGCUCUCCCGUCAUGUGAACGCCCAGCGUCGUGCUCUGGCUUCCUCACUGGCCGCAGGCCUGCCGUGCCCACUAGGGCCUUUUGGCCUGUCUCGGUCCGUCAGAAUCUCUACCCAUCCUACUGGCGACCCAGCUGAAGGCCCAGCUUGGCUCAGACGGCUUCCUGUUUCUACGGUGGCGUCACCCGUGGCUGUGGGGCCAGAGCCCAUGUCUGCAGCCUGUCUCUGCCACUUAUUUGUGGUGGAUGCCUGGCCCGUGGAAGACUGGCUCUUCGUCAGGGAGAGAGGGCACUCACAGCUGUCAGGGGACUCUGGCAAUCAUUUAGUGGCUCAAACCUGUGGAGCACCGACCCGUGUGCCAGGCACCCGCCCAGAUGCUGGGGAUGCCACAAUGAACAAAUGGAAUAUAAUCGUGACACGGUAAUGAAACUUCUCUGACGUGUUCGUUCCUAUUUCAUUAUAGCUCCUCUUCCCACACCCAUGGGGCCUGACUGGGGGACAGCACCCCUAAGGCUGUCAGCCGGGGAGUGCAGGCUGUGCUCUGCAUUCAUGCAAGACGAUUUUACGGGUAAAGGCAGCGUCUCAAGGAGCUAUCCCAUAUCACUAGCCCUGCUCUGGAUCGCACUGAUUUCGUUAGAGGUGGGUCAUGCGAGAGCGGGAAGACAGUGGGGUCAUGAUGUACAUGGGCAGCCCCAUGUUUUCCCGCAUCAGGAUUUCUUUAGCGACAGCAAAACCCAGGUGCCAGCUGACCUGUUUUUUUUUUAAUGCUUAUUUUUGAGAGAGAAAGCGAGACAGUGUGCGUAGUAGAAGGG